CGUUCCCGGGCCUUGUACACACCGCCCGUCACGAUCGUACGAAAGUGGAAUUGUACUAGAAGUCCUAAUCGAAACAGGCCCAAGGUAUGAUUCAUGAUUGGGGUG
rnacentral:rRNA from 1 species